UGAGCCACCGCGCCCAGCCUUAUUUAUUUUUUAAAGUAGAGAUGGGGUUUCACCCAUGUUGCCCAGGCUGGUCUUGAAUUCCUGGGUUCAAGGGAUCCACCUGCCUCGGCCUCCCAAAGUGCUGGGAUUACAGGUGCCAGCCACAGUGCCCAGCCACAAGUUUAUGUAAUCAAAGUUUAAUGAGACACGGAGCCUUCAGCAAUAAAGAUCUAAGACGCAGGGAACACUGAAAAGUGAACAGCCAUGCAGAAAUGGGAGCGGAUGAUGGGUGUGGUCAAACGAUGAGAGGUCUGUAGGGAACCCAGCAGGGCCUGUCUGGCCUCCAGAUCCUUCUCGGCCUCACUGCACCAUUCCUUCCUCCUGGGUGUGGGGCAGGACUUCUCCAGAAAUGAGGGCCUUUGAGAGAGAAGGGAGAGUGAUCUUUCAGGUUUGAUGGCUUGCUCUUUGGGAGAGGAGCUCUACUUUCUAUGACCGCCUUGAGGAAGAGGAAUUCUGGUUUCUAUGGCCUGUCUGGGGUGAUGGGGGCGGGUGUCAGGUGUCAAGAAGGCAGAAGGUCCCAGAGACGUUGCUUCUGAGGCUGCUUCCAAGGUCUUCCAAUCUGCUUUAGCUCACCGUUCUCAGCCUGCCGAAGCACCACACUUUGGCACAUUGUUUUCUGAGCCCCAACACCAAUAUGAUUUAGGAUUUACACUAGGGUUUGAAGUCGUAUGCCUCCAGUUUGGUGAGAAGGGAGCCCUGCUCUCUGUGGAGUUUUUGGGUCUGGGGACUAUUUCUCCCUGACAUCCUGAGCCACAGGGAGACACGGGGGCUGAAAUGUACUUCUGGGAUUCUUAGGAGACUUUGUUGGCAAUUCAGAGGCCUCACCCACCAAGCCAAAUGCCAGUCUUAGGUGGGGCACCCUAGGAGUGCAUUCUCCUUCUCUAGUCUCUUGUUCUUCCAGGCAGAAAGCUGUGAAUUUGCUGUCUCUGGAGGGCCGUGGGUUCUGGGAUAGAUGAUGGGAGAAAGAGAAGGAUAAAAAUGUCCUGCCUUCAAACUGGCCUCCAGGUCAAAAUCGCCGCAUACCAUAAGCAGGUGCUCUAGUGCCCUCUUCUGGAUAUGUUGGAGUACUGCAGCUCAGACAGAACUUUAUGGAACCCAACCCCUUUGGCAUUCUGGUGAAGCCAGCGGACCUCUUCCCGGAAUAAUGUUUUAAAAUGCGAGAAUCUUAAGGGAUGUGAAGACAUGGAAGAUGGACUUCCUUCCUUGGUAGGAGUUUUCUGUCUAAGUGGGAUGAGAUGUAUACACACAAAACAACCGAGAACACUACCCAGCAGCAUGAGACUUUGCGGCACGAAUUUCAGUGUUUCAUCCCUCCAGAGGCCCAGAGAAUCGAGAUGCUUGUGGAUGGGAGCAGCGGGGUGCGUUUUGUGAAGGCUGGGGGACUUGGUUUGGGUUUAGGAAGCUGGGAGGAUGGGACCCAUCAGGAAUGUCAGGUGGUGGAAACAGCAUGAGCCAAAAUAUUAAUAAAAUCUCAGAGAACGCAAGUUAAGCACCACAGAAAGAUUUAACCAAUGCAAAAAUGAAACUUGGGAAAAUGUACCACAUUGAAAAUCAAUGGAUUGAUCCCAUCUCCAGAAAUAAGAAAACGACCUUCCACAAUCAAUUCUAUUACAAUUCGCUAUACACAAAAUGAGAGAAAAACAUUCUGCUUAAACAUUGUGCAAUUUCUACUUCAUUAUUCAAAUAUUCCAUGCAAAGGCCUAAUUUCCCUAGCAGAUAAGGAGCUCUAGAUACAAACCAAUAAGAAAAAAGAACAACGUGGUCAAAGGGAAUGACCUCCCUACCCACAAAGUACAGAGGCCCCUAAGCAUAUAAAAAGAGGUGCAAUCUUACUCACGUGAAAGGUGCAAAGUAUAAUUACGCUCACGUCAUUUCCACCUAUUAGAUUGGCAAAGAUCAAAACAUUUGAUAAUAUACUGUGUUGGCAACUCUUAUUUCUUGUGGGGGGAGGACCUAAAUUGGUAUAACCUCUUUGGCAGUCAUCCUGGCAAUAUUUACCAAAAUUGCAAAUACACAUACUUUUGAAAUGCUUUGAAAAUCCACUUCUUUGUGUUACAGAUAUCCUUGCAUGCAUGAACAUUGCUUUUGUAAAGGUAACGAGUUGCUCUUUGCUUGCAAAAGCCUGGAAAGAAAAUGUCCACGAAGCACAUCUAUACAAUGAGACACUAGGCAGCUGUAAAAGGAAAACGAGAAUAAAGGAAUCCCUUUAAAUCACUGCUGUAGGUGGGGGGAAAAUAUGUUCCUCCUACCCCUCUAGGUUCUCAGCUGGGACCCUGUAAUAAA